AUCUGUGAAAACGAUACAGAGAUCGUCAACGUUCGUUGCAAUUUGUUACAAAAAUAUUUUUAUAACCGGACGUUUGAAUUUAUUAGUGUUUCGAAAUGAAAAACGUAGAUAUAUUUUAAGUAAACGGAGACUGUAACGUGAUUUCAUUGUGGGAGCUGUGUGCCAACGUUUCGAGUGGAUCUGAUCGACGUCCCGUUGGUGAUUAGACGCGGCUGCGAUAUUGAGUUUCGCAGUUGGACUGGUGUAACUUUGGAGAGUCCUGUAGUGUUGAGAAUGUCGUGCGGGAGAGUUUGUCGGCGAUGAGGAACAACUCGGUGGUCCUAUAGCUGAUUCAGGUCUCGUAUCGAGUCGAACGCUUUCUUCCGAGACGUUCACGUCCUUCAGGUCUUUCGGGGAUUCUUGAAAGAAAUCGAUUUUUAUUUACCUUCAACGCAUUGCUUCGUAGAAUACAGGAAAAACCAAGAUACCUUCGGAAGAAUUUCUUAUUUCUGAUAUUUCACUACUUCAUAUAAAAGACUAAAAAUGUAGCACGAUUUAUACUGACAUAAUCUUCAAGUGGAAUUUUUAAAUGGUUUUACAUAUGAACGUUUUAUAGAAGAAAUAACAUAGAAAUGUAUGUGACGGAGCUAUAUGAAAGCAGCAAAUAAAUGUUCAUCAAAAAACACAGUGAUGAAGAUGGUAAGUUAUAUAUUUUCUGCCAUUCUUCUUUUGAUAUUAAAACAGGACUAAUUUUUGUCUCUCAUUUUCUUUACUUCUUUCUCUUGUUUAAAACGAGUCACACGCGUUCUACGUUAUUUAGGUCAGAAUAUCAUUUAACGUAGCAUUAAAAAAAAAAAAAAAGAGAUUGUAAAUAAGGAAAAACCAUAAAUUAUCCAGUCUAUGUAAAAAUAUCUAAAAGUUUCCACGUGAAAACAUUUUCUAUAAAUAUAUUUACUUGCCAUUAUAAAACAAGUAACGUAUACCUUGCAAUAGUUUUGCAGUGAGGCUUUUGUACGAUGUUGUGUACCUUCAAAAUUGAAGAAAGGUAAUAAAGUAAAUUACUCGAUUCAA